rnacentral:rRNA from 1 species
UACGGAGGGGGCUAGCGUUGUUCGGAAUUACUGGGCGUAAAGCGCACGUAGGCGGCUUUGUAAGUUAGAGGUGAAAGCCCAGGGCUUAACCCUGGAAUUGCCUUUAAGACUGCAUCGCUUGAAUUGUGGAGAGGUGAGUGGAAUUCCGAGUGUAGAGGUGAAAUUCGUAGAUAUUCGGAAGAACACCAGUGGCGAAGGCGGCAUCCUGGACCGAUACUGACGCUGAGGAGCGAAAGCCAGGGGAGCAAACGGG